rnacentral:rRNA from 1 species
GACGAACGCUGGCGGCGUGCCUAAUACAUGCAAGUUGAGCGCUGAAGGUUGGUACUUGUACCAACUGGAUGAGCAGCGAACGGGUGAGUAACGCGUGGGGAAUCUGCCUUUGAGCGGGGGACAACAUUUGGAAACGAAUGCUAAUACCGCAUAAAAACUUUAAACACAAGUUUUAAGUUUGAAGGAUGCAAUUGCAUCACUCAAAGAUGAUCCCGCGUUGUAUUAGCUAGUUGGUGAGGUAAAGGCUCACCAAGGCGAUGAUACAUAGCCGACCUGAGAGGGUGAUCGGCAACAUUGGGACUGAGACACGGCCCAAACUCCUACGGGAGGCAGCAGUAGGGAAUCUUCGGCAAUGGACGAAAGUCUGACCGAGCAACGCCGCGUGAGUGAAGAAGGUUUUCGGAUCGUAAAACUCUGUUGGUAGAGAAGAACGUUGGUGAGAGUGGAAAGCUCAUCAAGUGACGGUAACUACCCAGAAAGGGACGGCUAACUACGUG